GUGAAAUUGUUGAAAGGGAAACGCUUGAAGUCAGUCGCGUUGGCUAGGAAUCAGUCUUGCUCCUGCUUGAUGUACUUUCUGGUUGACGGGUCAGCAUCAAUUUUGACCAUUGGAAAAAGUCUUUGGGAAUGUGGCAUCUUCUGGAUGUGUUAUAGCCCUUUGUCGUAUACGGUGGUCGGGAUUGAGGAACUCAGCACGCCGCAAGGCCGGGUCGUUUUUCGACCACGUUCGUGCUUAGGAUGCUGGCAUAAUGGCUUUAAUCGACCCGUCUUGAAACACGGACCAAGGAGUCUAACAUGCCUGCGAGUGUUUGGGUGGAAAACCCAUGCGCGCAAUGAAAGUGAAAGUUGAGAUCCCCUUCAAACAAGGGAGCAUUGACGCCCGGACCAGACCUUUUGUGACGGAUCCGCGGUAGAGCAUGCAUGUUGGGACCCGAAAGAUGGUGAACUAUGCCUGAAUAGGGUGAAGCCAGAGGAAACUCUGGUGGAGGCUUGUAGCGAUUCUGACGUGCAAAUCGAUCGUCAAAUUUGGGUAUAGGGGCGAAAGACUAAUCGAACCAUCUAGUAGCUGGUUCCUGCCGAAGUUUCCCUCAGGAUAGCAGAAACUCAUUAUCAGAUUUAUGUGGUAAAGCG
rnacentral:rRNA from 1 species